AACGAACGCUGGCGGCAGGCCUAACACAUGCAAGUCGAACGAACUCUUCGGAGUUAGUGGCGGACGGGUGAGUAACACGUGGGAACGUGCCUUUUGGUUCGGAAUAACUCCGGGAAACUUGUGCUAAUACCGAAUGUGCCCUUCGGGGGAAAGAUUUAUCGCCAUUAGAGCAGCCCGCGUCUGAUUAGCUAGUUGGUGAGGUAACGGCCCACCAAGGCGACGAUCAGUAGCUGGUCUGAGAGGAUGACCAGCCACACUGGGACUGAGACACGGCCCAGACUCCUACGGGAGGCAGCAGUGGGGAAUCUUGCGCAAUGGGCGAAAGCCUGACGCAGCCAUGCCGCGUGAAUGAUGAAGGUCUUAGGAUUGUAAAAUUCUUUCACCGGGGACGAUAAUGACGGUACCCGGAGAAGAAGCCCCGGCUAACUUCGUG
rnacentral:rRNA from 1 species